GAUGAAGAACGCAGCGAAAUGCGAUAAGUAGUGUGAAUUGCAGAAUUCAGUGAAUCAUCGAAUCUUUGAACGCACAUUGCGCCUCCUGGUAUUCCGGGAGGCAUGCCUGUUCGAGCGUCAUUAAAAUCACUCAAGCUUAGGUUUACCUAUUGCUUGGUCUUGGAGAUGGAAGCCAAUUUAUUGGAAUCCUCUUCGAAAUUCAAUGGCGAAGACCCUUGCUCUCCCAAGUGUAGUAAUAACUUAUGUCACUGAAGGAAGCGAGAAAUCUUCUGCCGUAACCCCCAUAUUUUCUAUGAUUGACCUCGGAUCAGGUAGGGAUACCCGCUGAACUUAAGCAUAUCAAUAACGGAGGA
rnacentral:misc_RNA from 1 species